CCCCUCUCAGAAUCGCACACGGAGAGUUUCUAGUACUCUGCCAGUCUCGGCCACAGGAGGGAGAGAGAAGCAGAGGCAUACCCAUUCUGUUCCUAGCUUGGGCAGCGGCUAGCUAGCAGAAGGCAAUCUGCUACAAGU